CGCUCACUAGCUGUCAGUGUGGAAGAGUCACCAUGAGAGCUCUCUCUAUAUUUGCUGUGCUCUCGCUGCUGACUUUCCCGUGCAUCGGUCAGAGAGCUUCAGGUUCAAAUGCCACCAGCAGCACAAUCAUUUUACGAUUUGAGCUGUGUCAGAACAGCAGCGCGUGCGGCAAGUGGGAGCGCUGCUGCUGGUCCAGAGAGGGCUGCUCCUGCGCCAGAUACUGUUCGCUGACGUGCAGUGAUUACGGAAAACUAAGCCAGCGCACGUGAUCAAGAUUCGGACAGACUGAUGUUCCAUGUCACCCAUAUCGAUGUUGAGCAUGAAAUUCAUAACAUGUUCAAUAUGCGUGGCAAUCAUAAUGGUACGGUAGCUAGGCAAUAGCCAUACCUAUCUACGAUGUAUCGUAGAUAGGUAGCUAUAGCUGCCGUGCCCGUGGAAACGCCAGUUAUAGGUAUACGGCGAUCAAAGGAGCACAUGGAGACGUUUCUGCUACUUUUAGAUACCUAAGCUAGCAUAAAAAUAAAUUGUGCUAAACUCAGCUGACGUAUUUUCGUGAUUUUACUUGCUUGCUGUAUGUACGGCGUACGUUCAUGGGUGGAGAAUGUUUGAAAAAGUUACCCCGGCCGGCGACCGAUAGUCGGAAAGACGACUAAGAUCAUAAAUAAACCCCUAUUCUGACCCAUG